CUCUUCUUGGAUAUAUUUUGAUGUAUGGCCUGCCCACUGAAUAUUGAAGGGCCGCGGUAUUUUGACCGUGCAAAGGUAGCAUAAUCAUUAGUCUUUUAAUUGUAGGCUGGAAUGAAUGGUUUGACGAAGUGUUAACUGUCUUUAAUUUUUUUUUAUUGAAUUUAAAUUUUAGGUUAAAAUGCCUAAAUAUUUUUUUGGGACGAGAAGACCCUAUAGAGUUUUAUAUAUUUUUAUUUUUUUGUGUGUAAUUUUUUGAUGUAAAAAUUUAUUUUGUUGGGGUGAUGGGAAGAUUGAAUUAACUCUUUUUGUUUAAUUAUAUUUAUUUAUAUGUAUUUGAUCCAUUUUUAUUGAUUAUAAGACUAAAUUACC
rnacentral:rRNA from 1 species